AUUGGUCACAUGUGUGAUAUCUUAACUCAUUCAAUUUUAAAGUUGGGAACCAAACCGAGUCUACAAUUAGUUAACAGGGCUUUUUACCAUUCCAUUUUUGAGCAGUGAAGGUGUUGGGGUCACAGAUCUGAGAUCUUAGAUGACCCAAACGUAAACUUGGGAACCAAAGAGAGUAUGCAGUACAUCUCCUUUACACUGCUUAGAGGAUUAAGUUUAAAAUUUUUCUCAAAAUUUGAAGUUGUUGGUUUCUACAAUCUGAGAUCUUACCUGACCCUAAAGUAAACUUGGUUGCCUGCUGAGAAUAUGAAGAGCAGAUG